CCAACCAUUAGCUCAGUCAGUAGAGCAUGAGACUCACAAUCUCAAGGUCGUGGGUUUGAGCUGCAUGUUGGG